rnacentral:sRNA from 1 species
UACGAGCUUGCUUAAGCUUAGGGCAUCUUGGGGAUGUGGCUUCGUGGGACUCUCCGCAAUUAGCGCACCUAAUUAGCACGUGUUGACACAAUUUGGCAAGCCUAGCGUUACAUCCCAUAAUAUUGCACACUUA